CUGAACUGGAUGAUGACAUCACUGAAUCAUCAAUGAAUGGACUUUAGCUGCAAAAAUGACACUUUGUUAUUUGUCAAGUCACCUUUAUUUGU